rnacentral:rRNA from 1 species
AACGAACGCUGGCGGCAGGCUUAACACAUGCAAGUCGAGCGCCCCGCCAGGGGAGCGGCAGACGGGUGAGUAACGCGUGGGAACGUACCUUUUGGUUCGGAACAACUCCGGGAAACUGGAGCUAAUACCGGAUAAGCCCUAACGGGGAAAGAUUUAUCGCCGAAAGAUCGGCCCGCGUCUGAUUAGCUAGUUGGUGAGGUAACGGCUCACCAAGGCGACGAUCAGUAGCUGGUCUGAGAGGAUGAUCAGCCACACUGGGACUGAGACACGGCCCAGACUCCUACGGGAGGCAGCAGUGGGGAAUAUUGGACAAUGGGCGCAAGCCUGAUCCAGCCAUGCCGCGUGAGUGAUGAAGGCCUUAGGGUUGUAAAGCUCUUUUGUCCGGGAAGAUAAUGACUGUACCGGAAGAAUAAGCCCCGGCUAACUUCGCG